rnacentral:misc_RNA from 1 species
GAUGAAGAACGUAGCAAAAUGCGAUAAGUAAUGUGAAUUGCAGAAUUCAGUGAAUCAUCGAAUCUUUGAACGCACAUUGCGCCCGCCAGUAUUCUGGCGGGCAUGCCUGUUCGAGCGUCAUUUCAACCCUCAAGCACAGCUUGGUGUUGGGACUCGCGUUAAUUCGCGUUCCCCAAAUUGAUUGGCGGUCACGUCGAGCUUCCAUAGCGUAGUAGUAAAACCCUCGUUACUGGUAAUCGUCGCGGCCACGCCGUUAAACCCCAACUUCUGAAUGUUGACCUCGGAUCAGGUAGGAAUACCCGCUGAACUUAAGCAUAUCAAUGAGCGGAGGA